CUUCUUGUUUUAUAGGAAGUCAUACCUGCUCACUGAUUUUUUUAAAGAGCCGCGGUAUUUUGACCGUGCAAAGGUAGCAUAAUCAUUAGUUUUUUAAUUAGAAACUGGAAUGAAUGGUUUGAUGAAAUAAUAUCUGUCUAUAUGUUAAUGGUUGAAUUUUACUUUUAAGUUAGAAGGCUUAAAUUGUGAUGAGGGACGAGAAGACCCUAUAGAUCUUUAUAAUUUAUUUUAUAAUUUAAUUUUUGAUUAUAUUUAUUAUUAUAAUUUAAAUUAUUUUAUUGGGGUGAUAAGAGAAUAUGUAAACUUCUUUUGUUUUGGCUUUGAUGAAUGGAAAAUUGAUCCUAUAUUAUGGAAUUAAGAUUAAGAUACCUUAGGGAUAACAGCGUUAUUUUAUUUGAGAGUUCUUAUCGACAAUAAAGAUUGCGACCUCGAUGUUGGAUUAAAAUUAGUUUUUAAUGAAGAAGUUAAUUAAUAUUGGUCUGUUC
rnacentral:rRNA from 1 species